GCUUCACUUAGCACAGCGGGAGUGCAUUAGAUGCAUUUGUACUUCAACGACAAAUUUCAUUUAUGGUCCUGGGUUCGAAUCCCAGAGUGAGCU